GCUACAACAACGUCAAAUCCAUGCCACAGCGACCUCUGCUGCUUCGUUCGGAAACGGCAACAGCAACCAACACACUGGAUUACACAUGUGCAGUAGUCCAAGAAGUAUUUGUUAUUGUUAGCUUCAGACGCAGCACAAACGUUUCAUUGCUAAAAUGGCUACGAAACGGCCCUUUGUAGA